rnacentral:rRNA from 1 species
GAUGAACGCUGGCGGCGUGCCUAAUACAUGCAAGUCGAGCGGCAGCAUAGUCUUCGGACUGAUGGCGAGCGGCGGACGGCUGAGUAACGCGUAGGAACAUACCCCAAAGUGAGGGAUAACUGCCCGAAAGGGUGGCUAAUACCGCAUGUGGUCUUAGGACUAAAGCUUUAUGCGCUUUGGGAAUGGCCUGCGUCUGAUUAGCUUGUUGGUGAGGUAAUGGCUCACCAAGGCGACGAUCGGUAGCUGGUCUGAGAGGAUGACCAGCCAGACUGGAACUGAGACACGGUCCAGACUCCUACGGGAGGCAG